CGGCGGACGGGUGAGUAAUGCCUAGGAAUCUGCCUGGUAGUGGGGGACAACGUUUCGAAAGGAACGCUAAUACCGCAUACGUCCUACGGGAGAAAGCAGGGGACCUUCGGGCCUUGCGCUAUCAGAUGAGCCUAGGUCGGAUUAGCUAGUUGGUGAGGUAAUGGCUCACCAAGGCGACGAUCCGUAACUGGUCUGAGUGGAUUAUCAGUCACACUGGAACUGAGACACGGUCCAGACUCCUACGGGAGGCAGCAGCC
rnacentral:rRNA from 1 species